AUGGCGGCCCGGCUUGUGAGACGAUGGGGCGCUGUGCGUGCAGCUGCCCACAGCGGCCCGCUGGUGCCCUGUCGCAGGUGGUCCGGCGCCUCAACAGACACUGUGUACGACGUGGUGGUGUCGGGUGGAGGCCUGGUGGGCGCUGCCAUGGCCUGUGCCUUGGGAUAUGACGUUCACUUUCAUGACAAGAAAAUCCUGUUGCUAGAAGCAGGUCCAAAGAAAGUAUUGGAGAAAUUGUCAGAAACUUACAGCAACAGGAUCAGCUCCAUUUCCCCUGGCUCUGCAACGCUUCUCAGUAGUUUUGGUGCCUGGGACCAUAUCUGCAACAUGAGAUACAGAGCCUUUCGGCGAAUGCAGGUGUGGGAUGCCUGCUCAGAGGCCCUGAUAAUGUUUGAUAAGGAUAAUUUAGAUGACAUGGGCUAUAUCGUGGAGAAUGAUGUCAUCAUGCAUGCUCUCACUAAGCAGCUGGAGGCCGUGUCUGACCGAGUGACAGUUCUCUACAGGAGCAAAGCCAUUCGCUAUACCUGGCCUUGUCCAUUUCCUAUGGCAGACUCCAGCCCUUGGGUUCAUAUUACCCUAGGUGAUGGCAGCACAUUCCAGACCAAAUUGUUGAUAGGUGCAGAUGGUCACAACUCGGGAGUACGACAGGCUGCUGGAAUCCAGAAUGUGAGCUGGAACUAUGACCAGUCUGCUGUUGUGGCUACUCUGCAUUUAUCAGAGGCCACGGAAAACAAUGUAGCCUGGCAGAGAUUUCUUCCCUCUGGGCCCAUUGCUCUGCUUCCGCUCUCAGACACCUUGAGUUCCUUGGUUUGGUCCACAUCCCAUGAACAUGCAGCAGAGCUAGUUAGCAUGGAUGAGGAACAAUUUGUGGAUGCCGUUAACUCUGCCUUUUGGAGUGAUGCUGACCACACGGACUUCAUCGACACAGCUGGCGCCAUGCUGCAAUACGCUGUUGGCCUUCUGAAGCCCACUAAGGUCUCGGCUCGCCAGCUGCCCCCAAGCGUAGCAAGAGUGGAUGCCAAAAGCCGAGUUCUGUUUCCUCUUGGGUUGGGACAUGCUGCUGAGUACGUCAGGCCUCGGGUGGCACUCAUUGGGGAUGCAGCCCACAGAGUCCAUCCGCUUGCGGGACAAGGUGUCAACAUGGGCUUUGGGGAUAUCUCCAGCUUGGCCCAUCACCUCAGUACGGCAGCCUUCAAUGGGAAAGACUUAGGCUCCAUGAGCCACCUCACAGGUUAUGAAACAGACAGACAGCGUCACAACACUGCUCUUCUGGCUGCUAUAGACUUAUUAAAAAGGCUCUAUUCCACCAGUGCCACCCCGCUUGUGUUGCUCAGGACGUGGGGCUUGCAGGCCACAAAUGCAGUGUCUCCACUCAAGUGGCUCACACCUGUAAUCCCAGCACUUCAGGAACCUGGGGAGGGAGGACCGCUUGAGCCCAGGAGUCUGAGGCUGCAGUGAGCUAUGAUCACACCAUUGCACUCCAGCCCAGUCAACACAGCAAGAACCUGUCUCCAAACUGUGAACAGAUUAUGGCCUUCGCAAGCAAAUGAGUACUCCUAAAGAUUACAUUGAUGAAAAAGAACAUCCUGCCACAAGACCGUCAUACAUAUUUUCAAGAUGUAAUUUAAUUUAAUAAAUUUACUUUAC